AUUCAAGUGACGAGUCCCAAAUAGGACGAAACGCGCAUCCUGGAU
rnacentral:hammerhead_ribozyme from 1 species